CUUGACGGAGCCCAGCCACAGCGGCCGGUCCGCCGGGCGGUCCUGCCCGUACGCCGCCAGCAGCGCCUGCGCCUC
rnacentral:antisense_RNA from 1 species